UUGCACUGUUCUAAGUUAUGCUGACUGAGUARUGCAGACUCAACUCUUGGGAUCUWGUGUCCUGGGUUGCGAUCUGCGUCAGUUUAGCAUGUGUAGCCCAGCUUCUGGCUGAGCRACACACCAAAUCCAUCUUGCGA
rnacentral:misc_RNA from 1 species